AAACUGCACUGCCAAUUAUUGACAACAUAUACCCAGACAGAGUCCAGUACCGUGGGGAAGUCCUCCAGCACUUGUCGGUCCUUCUCCUUGCUCUCGGUGAACCGCCACUCCGGCUCAUAGAGGAAAGUGUGAAAGCUGCGAAGCAGUGGGAUCUUCUUCUCCACACUGAUGGUCAUGUCGUCUUCCAGGGUGUCCAGGGCUCGGAGAACCAGGAGGCUGAGGCUGGAAGAUGCUGAGUUCAGGACAACUGGGACCAUAAGGAUUAGAAGCGACAUCAAAGCCUGCCAUACUUAGCACUUAUCGAUUGUUUGCCUGUCACUAAGUUCACUAAGUGGGAGCAGUGAACUCUACCGCUUCUGAGUAAAGAGUAAAACGGAAAGCUAA